rnacentral:rRNA from 1 species
CGUAAUAGCUCACUGGUCGAGUCGGCCUGCGCGGAAGAUGUAACGGGGCUAAACCAUGCACCGAAGCUGCGGCAGCGACGCUUAUGCGUUGUUGGGUAGGGGAGCGUUCUGUAAGCCUGUGAAGGUGGCCUGUGAGGGUUGCUGGAGGUAUCAGAAGUGCGAAUGCUGACAUAAGUAACGAUAAAGCGGGUGAAAAGCCCGCUCGCCGGAAGACCAAGGGUUCCUGUCCAACGUUAAUCGGGGCAGGGUGAGUCGACCCCUAAGGC